UAAGGCUGCCAGUGCAUACUUUGACAGAGAGUCUGUGAGACAAACAACCCGGGCGAGGAAAAGCCCCAGAAAUCAUCUUUCCAGGCGCACACCAGCUCAUGCUGUGAAACUGGCCUGUUUCUGUGGGUCAGGUCACUCAGGAAGUGAAGAGGACUAUAAACUAAGAAAGGUUCGACUGUAAUAAAAGCUCUCUCAUCACAACUCGCUCACAUUUUAAACAUGUUUACCUUCACAGAUGAUCUGACCACUGCCAAGCCUACACGACACGCGAGAACGACAUGACGGUGAUGAAAAUGAGACAAAGUUAGAGAUAAGAGGAAGUGAAAAUGUGGAAAGUACAGAGGAUUACAAAAUAAGACAGGACAUGACUUGAAAUAGAAACUCAAAGUAAAGAUGGGGAAAUGUACCUGUCAGGUUUGGACACGAAGGAUGGAAGUUUUUAAAGUUCCCGUAUCUCACGCCUGCCGAAAUCCAGCUGAUUUCCUGUAAACGGAGGGGGAGGAGAAAGCAGCCGCUGAUGGGGCAGUGUGAGGGCGCAGGAAGCAGGAACGUCGAGCCUGAGCGGGGGUGACCACUGGCCUGAACUACCUCUGAUCAGCUUUUCUGGAACUGAAAACUCGAUGUUUCCCCUCAGCUCAGAGUUUGGGGUCAAACAAAGGCCCUGAGCUCACAGUCACCUCUCAUACUAAAGUGUAGAAAAUGAAUAAUUGUGUGGAAAAUGAGAAGGACGGCGCCGACUCUUCACAAUGUAACAGUAAGCAGUCCAAAGCAGAUCCACUGGCCUUCAGUAAUGAACCCAGAGCCUUGGACACAAAGUAAGAGAACUGCCACGGACUUAUUUUUAAUCUCUUUAUCCCAGAGAUGCCAUAUUAUAUAUACAACAGUGUAAAUUAAGUAGAUCCUGUUUCUGCUUUAAACUGUAGUGUAACUUUCUUAAGAUGGAUUCUGGAGAGAGUAUGAUAAGCUGGAAAUAUGGAGUGUAUUUCUGUGUUUCAGAUAUUUGCUGCAAAUGAUUUCUAGUUGAGAGAGAAGAAUUAACGUGGGAGAUUAUCCUGCCUGAUUCUUAAUUUGUGGUUGUUGUUUUUUUAAAAAGAAAAAAGAAGAUGAAAAGAAGAAAAUAAUGUUAUUAUCACAAACAUCAUAUGAAAGACCCACAUGAUCAAUAGUGUGUCUCACUGUGAGACUGUGGAACUGUGGCUACCAAAACUAGUGACUUGGGUCAUGGAAUGUCACCUCUCUGAUGGGGAAGGAGCAUGAGUUAGUGCAUGAGGUUGAGAUAUAUUGACUAGAUAUAGUGGGGCUCACCUCAAUGCAUGGCUUGGGCUCUGGAGCCAAACUCCUGGUGAGGGGCUGGACUCUGUCUCAGUCUGAAGUUGUGCCCUUGGUGAGAGGCAGCGGGCUGGGAUGCGUGUCCUAGUAUCCCCUCAGCUUGCUGCCUGCAUGUUGCGGUUUCUCCUGGUGGACGAGAGGGUUUGAUCUCUGCAACUUUGGGUUAGGUCAGGGGUCGGCA